GAUGAACGCUGGCGGCGUGCCUAAUACAUGCAAGUCGAGCGAACAGAUGAGGAGCUUGCUCCUCUGACGUAGCGGCGGACGGGUGAGUAGCACGUGGAUAACCUACCUAUAAGACUGGGAUAACUUCGGGAAACCGGAGCUAAUACCGGAUAAUAUAUUGAACCGCCUGGUUCAAUAGUGAAAGACGGUUUUGCUGUCACUUAUAGAUGGAUCCGCGCCGCAUUAGCUAGUUGGUAAGGUAACGGCUUACCAAGGCAACGAUGCGUAGCCGACCUGAGAGGGUGAUCGGCCACACUGGAACUGAGACACGGUCCAGACUCCUACGGGAGGCAGCAGUAGGGAAUCUUCCGCAAUGGGCGAAAGCCUGACGGAGCAACGCCGCGUGAGUGAUGAAGGUCUUCGGAUCGUAAAACUCUGUUAUUAGGGAAGAACAAAUGUGUAAGUAACUAUGCACGUCUUGACGGUACCUAAUCAGAAAGCCACGGCUAACUACGUG
rnacentral:rRNA from 1 species